UGGGGAAUCUUGCACAAUGGGCGAAAGCCUGAUGCAGCGACGCCGCGUGGGGGAUGAAGGCCUUCGGGUUGUAAACCCCUUUCGGCAGGGAAGAAGCCGCAAGGUGACGGUACCUGCAGAAGAAGCCCCGGCCAACUACGUGCCAGCAGCCGCGGUAAGACGUAGGGGGCGAGCGUUGUCCGGAUUCACUGGGCGUAAAGCGCGCGUAGGCGGCUCGUUAAGUCGGAUGUGAAAACCCGGGGCUCAACCCCGGGCCUGCACCCGAUACUGGCGAGCUGGAGGCAGGUAGGGGAGAUCGGAAUUCCCGGUGUAGCGGUGAAAUGCGCAGAUAUCGGGAGGAACACCGGUGGCGAAGGCGGAUCUCUGGGCCUGUCCUGACGCUCAGGCGCGAAAGCUAGGGGAGCAAACAG
rnacentral:rRNA from 1 species